GAUUCAGAAUUACCCUAAAUUUCAAAAAGGUUAUACCCAGUGGAUAAUCAGUGGAAAGGGUUACUUCCAAUUCAAUUUAAAUUGAUACCCCAUAUGGUGAAAUUUGGUCCGAUACUAUUUUAAGCAUUGUUAAAUUGCCUUUUUGAAGACACGAUAAGAUGUAUGUCCAUAUUGUGAUUCUUUGAUUAAUACACCCCUGAUGAAGUCUGUAGGAUGAAACGCGUUGGGUUAGCACAUUGUUCUCUGACAUCUCUACAAAGAAGAUCAUUUUGAUGUUGUUUGAAUUACCAACACAACUAUCGUCUGUACAAACAUUGUUUAUUGUUAUUCUGGGCAAAUUGUAAACAGUUUUAUGUAUUGCUUUUAAAAAAAAUAAACAAUCUCUCUUUUUUAA